rnacentral:rRNA from 1 species
CCCCGGCGAGGGGAGUGAAAAAGAACCUGAAACCGUGUACGUACAAGCAGUAGGAGCACAGAGCAAUCUGUGUGACUGCGUACCUUUUGUAUAAUGGGUCAGCGACUUAUAUUCUGUAGCAAGGUUAACCGAAUAGGGGAGCCGAAGGGAAACCGAGUCUUAACUGGGCGUUAAGUUGCAGGGUAUAGACCCGAAACCCGGUGAUCUAGCCAUGGGCAGGUUGAAGGUUGGGUAACACUAACUGGAGGACCGAACCGACUAAUGUUGAAAAAUUAGCGGAUGACUUGUGGCUGGGGGUGAAAGGCCAAUCAAACCGGGAGAUAGCUGGUUCUCCCCGAAAGCUAUUUAGGUAGCGCCUCGUGAAUUCAUCUCCGGGGGUAGAGCACUGUUUCGGCAAGGGGGUCAUCCCGACUUACCAACCCGAUGCAAACUGCGAAUACCGGAGAAUGUUAUCACGGGAGACACACGGCGGGUGCUAACGUCCGUCGUGAAGAGGGAAACAACCCAGACCGCCAGCUAAGGUCCCAAAGUCAUGGUUAAGUGGGAAACGAUGUGGGAAGGCCCAGACAGCCAGGAUGUUGGCUUAGAAGCAGCCAUCAUUUAAAGAAAGCGUAAUAGCUCACUGGUCGAGUCGGCCUGCGCGGAAGAUGUAACGGGGCUAAACCAUGCACCGAAGCUGCGGCAGCGACACUGUGUGUUGUUGGGUAGGGGAGCGU